UCCUAGAUAACUUAGUUGAUUAAAAUGUGGUGCUGAUAAUGCCAAGGUUUCAGGUUCAACCCCUGUAUGGGAG